rfam:Gorilla gorilla gorilla genomic chromosome, chr1, whole genome shotgun sequence
CGGGCACAGUGGCUUACGCCUGUAAUUCCAGCACUUUGGGAGUCCGAGGCAGGAGGAUGGCUUGAGGCUCAGAAGUUGAGGCUGCAGUCAGCCAUGAUCACACGACUGCACUCCAGCCUAGGCAACAGNNNNNNNNNNCUGUUGCCUAGGCUGGAGUGCAGUCGUGUGAUCAUGGCUGACUGCAGCCUCAACUUCUGAGCCUCAAGCCAUCCUCCUGCCUCGG